rnacentral:lncRNA from 1 species
AUCCUUAAAAAGCCUUAAAAAAAUAUUAAAAUAAUCAUAAUAUAUCUUAAAUAAAUCUCAAUUAAAUUCUAAUUUAAUCCUAGUUGAAACCCUAAUAGAAUUCAAUUAAAUCCUAGAUAAAUCUUACAUCCUUAAAUCAAAUCUUAAUCAAACUCUUAAUCCUAAAUUAUAUCCUAAUCAAAUUCUAAAUCCUAAACUAAUUCCUUAUCAAUCCUAAAUUCUAAACCAAAUCCUAAACAAAUCCUAAUCAAAUCUUAAAUCUUAACCAAAUCCUAAUCAAAUCCUAAAUCCUAAAUCAAAUCCUAAUCAAAUCCUAAAUCCUAAAUCAAAUCCUAACCAAAUCCUAAUUAAAUCUUAGAUCUUAAAUCAAACUUAAAUAAAAUCUUAACCAAAUCCUAAAUUCUAAAUCAAAUUCUAACAAAAUCCUAAAUCCUAAAUUCAACCCUAACCAAACUCUAACCAAAUCCUAAACUUAAAAUCAAAUCCUGAUUUCAAUAUCUUUUGAUUAAAUAGUUGAACUUGUUUAAAAUUUUACAAAUCUCUCAAUUUCUUAAUUAUAAAAAAGCACAACAAAUUUGAAGACAAUUUCACUUAU